rnacentral:misc_RNA from 1 species
CUCCCUUGUCGCUUGCAUCUCGUCUAGUCCGCGUUCGCAUCACCAUGGCAUACCCGUAUAACGCAAACCCCGGCUACACUCAGCCGCCCACGCAAUACGGCCAGCCUCCUGCGGUGGCAGGGGCCCACGGCCACCCGCCUGUGACGACGCCGCUGCCGUACAACGCCCAAAGCGCCUACGGCGGCGCACAGCCACCGAUGCCGACCUCCACCGGCGUGUACGCCCCUUCAGCUCGGCACAUGAACGACAACCAAGAGCUGAUGGAGUGGUUCCGCGCGGUCGAUACGGAUGGCAGCGGCGCCAUCAGCGUACCGGAGCUGAACGCGGCCCUGUCGUCCGCCGGCGUGCCGUUCAGCCUCGCCACGACGGAGAAGUUGCUGCACAUGUACGAUAAAAACCAUAGCGGCGAGAUCACCUUCAACGAGUUCAAAGAUCUCCAUCAUUUCAUUUUGAGCAUGAGGGAGGGCUUCCGCAAGCGCGACUCCAGCGGCGAUGGUCGGCUCGACAGCAACGAAGUGCGCGCCGCCCUCGUCUCGAGCGGCUAUCAAGUCUCGGAGCAGACGUUCCAGGCCUUGAUGCGCAAGUUUGACCGGCAGCGCCGCGGCAGCCUCGGCUUCGAUGAUUACGUCGAGCUAUCCAUCUUCAUUUGUAGGGUGCGCAACGUCUUCGCCUUUUACGACCGCGAACGCACGGGGCAGGUCACAUUCACCUUUGACACCUUCAUCGGUGGUAGCGUCUCCAUCCUGUAGGCCAGUGAAGCCCGCCGGAGUUGCGAGUGGGUGAGUCACGGCGGGGAGGGGAGGGGAGGGACGAAGGGAGGAGGAGGUAAGGGCAUUCCUCUGGCUCUCCGCCGCUCUCUCUCUUUCUGUGUCUGUGUGUCUGACGUGUUGGUCGGGUCGAGAUUGUGGGCGCUCUCCCCUUGGCGCUUCGCUUUUCUUUUUUUUUGUGCUAUUGGAGUGCGGCAUCUCCUCCGCACUGUGUGUUUCCUUUCGUUGUCCUCUUCCAUCUUUUGUGUGAUGGGCAGCCGAGUCUGACCAGCCCCUCUCGCUUGCCUCCCUCCUCUUCCCUCUCUCCCUGUCGCAGGCACGCGCGCAUUAACUCGUGCACGCGCACGGGAUCGCACCUCUGCACAAGCCCCCUCCUCCCCCUUACCUCUUCUGCUCUCCCUUUUCCCUUUCUUGUUGCCCUUCGCGUUUGUGGGAAUCUCGUUACCGAUUUGCCUCCUUCUCCGUCUCUCCUCACGCACUCUCUCCGUGUGUUGGGGGUGGUGGUGGGAGGAGGGAAGGGGGGUCGCGAGUGGGGCUCGAAAGGGAUGCGGCCGUGCAUUCGUUGCGGGUGACGGACCUUUGUGGGCAGGAGACACACCGACGCAUUCGCCAACGGACUGUUUCGUGCGGAAUAGCAUGGGAAGAGGGAAGGCGGGCCGGCGGCAGCAGAUAGGGACCAUUGACACCGAACGCACGAAAUACACAAGCACAGCCGCC